UACAGAGGGUGCAAGCGUUGCUCGGAAUUAUUGGGCGUAAAGGGUAGGUAGGUGGUCUCAUUUGUCUGGGGUGAAAUCCUUGGGCUUAACUCAAGAAGUGCCCCAGAAACGGUGAGACUGGAGUCCUGGAGAGGGUCGUGGAAUUCCCGGUGUAGCGGUGAAAUGCGUAGAGAUCGGGAGGAACACCAGUGGCGAAGGCGGCUACCUGGACCAGCACUGACACUGAGGCACGAAAGCGUGGGGAGCAAACAGG
rnacentral:rRNA from 1 species